AGAGUUUGAUCCUGGCUCAGGAUGAACGCUAGCUACAGGCUUAACACAUGCAAGUCGAGGGGAAACGAUAUUGGAAGCUUGCUUCCGAUAGGCGUCGACCGGCGCACGGGUGAGUAACGCGUAUCCAACCUGCCCACCACUUGGGGAUAACCUUGCGAAAGUAAGACUAAUACCCAAUGAUAUCUCUAGAAGACAUCUGAAAGGGAUUAAAGAUUUAUCGGUGAUGGAUGGGGAUGCGUCUGAUUAGCUUGUUGGCGGGGUAACGGCCCACCAAGGCGACGAUCAGUAGGGGUUCUGAGAGGAAGGUCCCCCACAUUGGAACUGAGACACGGUCCAAACUCCUACGGGAGGCAGCAGUGAGGAAUAUUGGUCAAUGGACGAGAGUCUGAACCAGCCAAGUAGCGUGCAGGAUGACGGCCCUAUGGGUUGUAAACUGCUUUUAUAAGGGAAUAAAGUGAGCCUCGUGAGGCUUUUUGCAUGUACCUUAUGAAUAAGGACCGGCUAAUUCCGUGCCAGCAGCCGCGGUAAUACGGAAGGUCCGGGCGUUAUCCGGAUUUAUUGGGUUUAAAGGGAGCGUAGGCCGGAGAUUAAGCGUGUUGUGAAAUGUAGAUGCUCAACAUCUGCACUGCAGCGCGAACUGGUUUCCUUGAGUACGCACAAAGUGGGCGGAAUUCGUGGUGUAGCGGUGAAAUGCUUAGAUAUCACGAAGAACUCCGAUUGCGAAGGCAGCUCACUGGAGCGCAACUGACGCUGAAGCUUGAAAGUGCGGGUAUCGAACAGGAUUAGAUACCCUGGUAGUCCGCACGGUAAACGAUGGACGCCCGCUGUUGGUCUGAAUAGGUCAGCGGCC
rnacentral:rRNA from 1 species